AUGCUCACUUUGGCAACACAUAUACUAAAAUUGGAACAAUACAGAGAAGAUUAGCAUGGCCCUGCACAAGGAUGACGCAUAAAUUUGUGAAGUGUUCCAUAUUUUG
rnacentral:snRNA from 1 species